AGGAUAAACGCUGGCGGCGUGCCUAAUACAUGCAAGUCGAGCGGCAGCGCGGUCUUCGGACUGGCGGCGAGCGGCGGACGGCUGAGUAACACGUAGGAACGUACCCCAAAGUGAGGGAUAAGCACCAGAAAUGGUGUCUAAUACCGCAUGUGCUCUAAGGAGUAAAGCUUCGGCGCUUUGGGAACGGCCUACGCAUGAUUAGCUUGUUGGUGAGGUAAUGGCUCACCAAGGCGACGAUCAUUAGCUGGUCUGAGAGGAUGAUCAGCCAGACUGGGACUGAGAACGGCCCAGACUCCUACGGGAGGCAGCAGUAGGGAAUUUUCCACAAUGGGCGAAAGCCUGAUGGAGCAACGCCGCGUGCAGGAUGAAGGCCUUAGGGUUGUAAACUGCUUUUAUGUGUGACGAAUAUGACGGUAGCAUAUGAAUAAGGAUCGGCUACUCCGUGCCAGCAGCCGC
rnacentral:rRNA from 1 species